UCACCUCUCCCCAAUAAGCAUCAAAAAGCAAAAUCUUGGUCCAGUGUUGUUGAACAUGGAACUAACAAAAUGAAAUUUGUUUAUAUGCCCCCCUCAUCUGCUAAUUCCAAUUUUAUCGAACCACCUAAAGAAGUUGUUGAUGAAGGUUUAAACUUCUGGUCCUUUUUCCACUUGGUUGGUUUCUCCACCCACAAGAGAUUGCCAUUCAAGGUUUCAUAUCACGAUUCUUUUCUUCUCUCUCACCCACGACAUCAGGGCUUGGUGGUGUGCGUGGUGUGGCUCAGGGAAGAGCACGGUGACUAUGGUCGAUUGGUGGUGCGGGUGGUGCGUUGGUGGUUGAUUGGUGGUACAUCGGAGGUUUGGACAGUGGUGGUUAAAGGGUUGGGCUCUUGUAAGUUGUUACAUAAUCUUUCAUAAUGGAUAGAAGUUAGAUUACGGACUCAAGGAUAAGUACUACAUACUCGAAUGGAGUUGAACAAUUUCUAGAUACAGCAUUUGAGCGAGUUGGGCAGAGUGGACGCAUAUAUUGUCCGUGUACCAAGUGUGGGAAUUGUAUCAAGAAAACAAGGCAAGAAGUUUUGCAUGACUUGAUGUGGAAUGGGUUGCACGUGUAGAAAUGAAGGAGACAGUGGAAAAGAUACGUGCUGAGUAUGAUGAAAAAUAUGAUGGUUUGAAUCCAAAAAUGGCAAUGAUUUUGCAUCAUAUUGAACAUCAAAAUUCUAAUGUACAGGUACCUGGCUCCUCAACUGCACUUGGUGAUCUUUAAAUUUUAUUUUUGGUCGUGAAAUUUCAUCCUUGGGCAAUUUGAAGCAAGACGAUAAAUGAAGUUGAACCAUUAAUUCUCAAGACCCUCGCAUAGUCUCACUCAAAUUAUCAAUGAAAUGUUGAUGUUUUAUUUUGAAUGAUUUCCUUUAGAAGCUUUAUUAGAUUUUGGUGUUUCCUUUUGAAUCUUUUAUUAGCACUUGACAUUUUAAAACAAAACGUAUAUGUUAUGGGAUGUUAUUGAAUUUUAAUGCAACUUUGUUUUAUGUUAUAUAUCAAAUUUAAGUUGCUGGA